rnacentral:rRNA from 1 species
UACGUAGGGGGCUAGCGUUGUCCGGAAUCAUUGGGCGUAAAGAGCGCGUAGGCGGCUAGAUAAGUCUGGUGUGAAAGUCACAGGCUCAACCUGUGAAUGCCGCUGGAAACUGUCUGGCUAGAGUCCGGAAGGGGCGAGUGGAAUUCCUGGUGUAGCGGUGAAAUGCGCAGAUAUCAGGAGGAACACCAAUGGCGAAGGCAGCUCGCUGGGACGGUACUGACGCUGAGGCGCGAAAGCGUGGGGAGCAAACAGG